rfam:Anaerolineae bacterium SG8_19 WOR_8-12_3455, whole genome shotgun sequence.
GCGAGCGAUGCCAAGAUCGUCGAUGCCCAGGCCGGUCUGGAGAGCGGCAUAACUGCUCUUUUAGGUGCUAUGGCUGGCAUCAAUAUGAUUUCAGGGGCCG